GAUAGCUCAGUUGGUUAGAGCGUGGUGCUGGUAACACCAGGGUGGCAGGGUCGAUCCCUGUAUGGGACA
rnacentral:tRNA from 1 species